AUACGUAGGGGGCGAGCGUUGUCCGGAAUGAUUGGGCGUAAAGGGCGCGUAGGCGGCCUUGCAAGUCAGUAGUAGAAGUCCAUUUUUCAAGGAUGGAAGUGCUACAGAAACUGCGGAGCUUGAGUGCAGGAGAGGUUAUCGGAAUUCCCGGUGUAGCGGUGAAAUGCGUAGAGAUCGGGAGGAACACCAGUGGCGAAGGCGGGUAACUGGACUGCAACUGACGCUGAGGCGCGAAAGUGUGGGGAGCAAACAGGAUUAGAUACCCUGGUAGUCCACACUGUAAACGAUGAAUGCUAGGUGUAGGAGGUAUCGACCCCUUCUGUGCCGCAGUAAACACAGUAAGCAUUCCGCCUGGGGAGUACGGUCGCAAGAUUAAAACUCAAAUGAAUUGACGGGG
rnacentral:rRNA from 1 species